UACGUAGGGGGCAAGCGUUGUCCGGAAUCAUUGGGCGUAAAGCGCGUGUAGGCGGCCAGAAAAGUCCGCUGUGAAAACUCGAGGCUCAACCUCGAGCUGUCGGUGGAAACUUUCUGGCUAGGGUCCGGAAGAGGAGAAUGGAAUUCCUGGUGUAGCGGUGAAAUGCGCAGAUAUCAGGAAGAACACCCGUGGCGAAGGCGGUUCUCUGGGCCGAUACUGACGCUGAGGAGCGAAAGCGUGGGGAGCGAACAGG
rnacentral:rRNA from 1 species